rnacentral:rRNA from 1 species
AGGAUGAACGCUGGCGGCGUGCCUAACACAUGCAAGUCGAACGUCCUGUCUCGCAAGAGGCAGGGAGUGGCGGACGGGUGAGUACCACGUGGGUCAUCUACCGUGAGGUGAGGAAUACCGGCGAGAAAUCGCCGACAAGACCGCAUAGGCUCGAUGCAAGUCGAGCAAAGCUCUUUCGAGAGAGGGAGCGCCACACGAGGAGCCUGCGCCCGAUUAGCUAGCUGGUGGAGUAACGGUUCACCAGGGCGACGAUCGGUAGCUGGUCUGAGAGGACGAUCAGCCACACUGGGAUUGAGAACGGCCCAGACUCCUACGGGGGCAGCAGUGAGGAAUUUUCGUCAAUGGGGGCAACCCUGAACGAGCAACGCCGCGUGCAGGAAGAGGUUUCGGAUCGUAAACUGCUUUCUCGGGAAGAGAACGGACGGUACCCGAGGAAUCAGCCCCGGCUAACUACGUGCCAGCAGCCGC